UACAGAGGUCCCAAGCGUUGUUCGGAUUCACUGGGCGUAAAGGGUGCGUAGGCGGCCGGGUAAGUCUGUUGUGAAAUCCCGCAGCUCAACUGCGGAACUGCAGUGGAUACUAUCCGGCUCGAGGAAUGGAGGGGAGACUGGAAUUCUCGGUGUAGCAGUGAAAUGCGUAGAUAUCGAGAGGAACACCAGUGGCGAAGGCGAGUCUCUGGACAUUUCCUGACGCUGAGGCACGAAAGCCAGGGGAGCAAACGGG
rnacentral:rRNA from 1 species